rnacentral:ribozyme from 1 species
ACCAGGGUAAUGACCUCGGGGAUGGUAAAAACUCUCAAGAUUGGGUUAUCCGCAGCCAAGUCCUAAGGGGCCCCGGCCCUACGGAUGCAGUUCAUCGACUAGAUGGCAGUGGGCCCGACGGCGUCAACCGCCGCGGGCUUAAGAUAUAGUCAGUCCCGCCAGAGAUGGCGCC